rnacentral:rRNA from 1 species
UACGGAGGGGGCCAGCGCUGUUCGGAAUCAUUGGGCGUAAAGGGCGCGUAGGCGGCUUGGUAAGUCCGUUGUGAAAUCCCUCGGCUCAACCGAGGAACUGCGACGGAUACUGCUUGGCUUGAGUCCCGGAGAGGGUAGCGGAAUUCCCAGUGUAGCGGUGAAAUGCGUAGAUAUCAGGAGGAACACCGGUGGCGAAGGCGGGUCUCUGGGCCGAUACUGACGCUGAGGAGCGAAAGCGUGGGGAGCGAACAGG